ACUGAGAUUUGGGGCUUCCACCCCUUGACAGCAGCUGAACCUUAGCCGGCCGAUCGAGGAGCAGGGCCCCCUGGACGUCAUCAUCCACAAGCUGACCGACGUCAUCCUUGAAGCCGACCAGAAUGAUAGCCAGUCCCUGGAGCUGGUGCACAGGUUCCAGACGACAGGAUCUGCUCGCCACCCUUCAUGGAGCUCACGAGCCUGUGCGGGGAUGACGCCAUGCAGCUGCUGGAGAAGAACGGCUUGGCUUUCCCAUUCAUUUGCAAAACCAGAGUGGCUCAUGGCACCAACUCUCACGAGAUGGCUAUCGUGUUCAACCAGGAGGGCCUGAACGCCAUCCAGCCACCCUGCGUGGUCCAGAAUUUCAUCAACCACAAUGCCGUCCUGUACAAGGUGUUCGUGGUUGGCGAGUCCUACACCGUGGUCCAGAGGCCCUCGCUCAAGAACUUCUCCGCAGGCACAUCAGACCGUGAGUCCAUCUUCUUCAACAGCCACAAUGUGUCAAAGCCGGAGUCGUCAUCGGUCCUGACGGAGCUGGACAAGAUCGAGGGCGUGUUCGAGCGGCCGAGCGACGAGGUCAUCCGGGAGCUCUCCCGGGCCCUACGGCAGGCACUGGGCGUGUCACUCUUCGGCAUCGACAUCAUCAUCAACAACCAGACAGGGCAGCACGCCGUCAUUGACAUCAAUGCCUUCCCAG
rnacentral:sRNA from 1 species